rnacentral:misc_RNA from 1 species
GAUGAAGAACGUAGCGAAAUGCGUUAAGUAGUGUGAAUUGCAGAAUUCAGUGAAUCAUCGAAUCUUUGAACGCACAUUGCGGCCAUAGGUAUUCCUUUGGCCAUGCCUGUUCGAGCGUCAUUUACACCCUCAAGCCUAGCUUGGUGUUGGGCGUCUGUCCCGCCGUUCUCGCGCGCGGACUCGCCUCAAAGUCAUUGGCGGCGGUCGUGCCGGCCCCCUCGCGCAGCACAUUUGCGCUUCUCGGAGGCCCGGCGGAUCCGCGCUCCAGCAAGACCUUUCACGACUUGACCUCGGAUCAGGUAGGGAUACCCGCUGAACUUAAGCAUAUCAAUAAGCGGAGGA